AAUGUCAUUGAACAAGAUUCUUUGAGUGAUAUAUUGUUGGAUGGAUGGGAAGUUGAAACUUCAAGCACCAGUGCAGGGGAGCAUGAUGUACAGUGAUGGUAUUAAAUCUUUAGCAUGCAGUUGCCUCAGCAGACCAGUUGAUGGAAAAGUUUUCCUUGAUAUGAGGAAGAAGUGAAUGUUGGUUUAGAUGAAAACAAUCACUUCAUGAAAAGUACACGAAACUACAAUUACCUUCGUGACAACUACAUCAUUGGCAUAAUGGAGUCAUUUUUCCUGCAAACUCUACUUUUGAUAGUGAUGGCGAGAGUUCAGUGGACAAAUUUUGUCCAAGACAGGAGCAUCUUUUCACUUCAAAGUCCUUUUAAGAAUAUUUGAGUACAAGUACAUUGCCUAUAGUUGUUUAAAUGUACUCUGAUAUGAAGUAGUGGAGUUGCACUAAUGUUCCUUGUUUUGAAGGUCUCUCACUGUUAAACACUGAGGCUUAUUUAUGAAAGAAACAUGUUUUCAUGUGUAUUUUGAGUACACUUUAUUGAAAAGUAUUUUUAGAUAAGGUUUUGUUACUAUUUGUUUAAUGAAGCAGUAAUAAAGCUUAUACUUGAAAA